GCCACAUCAGCUUGAAACACAGGUUCUCGUACGAUCACCCAAGUUAAGCAACGUCAAGUCUGGUCAGUACCUAGAAGGGUGACCUCUUGUGAAGACCAGGUGCUGUAA